CAUGCAAGUCGAACGGCAGCACGGGAGCAAUCCUGGUGGCGAGUGGCGAACGGGUGAGUAAUACAUCGGAACGUGCCCAAUCGUGGGGGAUAACGCAGCGAAAGCUGUGCUAAUACCGCAUACGAUCUACGGAUGAAAGCAGGGGACCGCAAGGCCUUGCGCGAAUGGAGCGGCCGAUGGCAGAUUAGGUAGUUGGUGAGGUAAAGGCUCACCAAGCCUUCGAUCUGUAGCUGGUCUGAGAGGACGACCAGCCACACUGGGACUGAGACACGGCCCAGACUCCUACGGGAGGCAGCAGUGGGGAAUUUUGGACAAUGGGCGAAAGCCUGAUCCAGCAAUGCCGCGUGCAGGAUGAAGGCCUUCGGGUUGUAAACUGCUUUUGUACGGAACGAAACGGUUCUUUCUAAUAAAGAGAGCUAAUGACGGUACCGUAAGAAUAAGCACCGGCUAACUACGUGCCAGCAGCCGCGGUAAUACGUAGGGUGCAAGCGUUAAUCGGAAUUACUGGGCGUAAAGCGUGCGCAGGCGGUUAUGUAAGACAGUUGUGAAAUCCCCGGGCUCAACCUGGGAAUUGCAUCUGUGACUGCAUAGCUAGAGUACG
rnacentral:rRNA from 1 species